rnacentral:rRNA from 1 species
CCUACGGGGGGCUGCAGUGGGGAAUAUUGGACAAUGGGGGGAACCCUGAUCCAGCCAUGCCGCGUGUGUGAAGAAGGCCCUCGGGUUGUAAAGCACUUUCAGUGAGGAAGAACGCCUGGUGGUUAAUACCCAUCAGGAAAGACAUCACUCACAGAAGAAGCACCGGCUAACUCCGUGCCAGCAGCCGCGGUAAUACGGAGGGUGCGAGCGUUAAUCGGAAUUACUGGGCGUAAAGCGCGCGUAGGUGGCUUGAUAAGCCGGUUGUGAAAGCCCCGGGCUCAACCUGGGAACGGCAUCCGGAACUGUCAAGCUAGAGUGCAGGAGAGGAAGGUGGAAUUCCCGGUGUAGCGGUGAAAUGCGUAGAGAUCGGGAGGAAUACCAGUGGCGAAGGCGGCCUUCUGGACUGACACUGACACUGAGGUGCGAAAGCGUGGGUAGCAAACAGGAUUAGAUACCCCAGUAGUC